rnacentral:rRNA from 1 species
AUUGAACGCUGGCGGCAUGCCCUACACAUGCAAGUCGAACGGUAACAGGUCUUCGGAUGCUGACGAGUGGCGAACGGGUGAGUAAUACAUCGGAACGUGCCUAGUAGUGGGGGAUAACUACUCGAAAGAGUGGCUAAUACCGCAUGAGAUCUACGGAUGAAAGCAGGGGAUCGCAAGACCUUGUGCUACUAGAGCGGCCGAUGGCAGAUUAGGUAGUUGGUGGGAUAAAAGCUUACCAAGCCGACGAUCUGUAGCUGGGCUGAGAGGACGAUCAGCCACACUGGGACUGAGACACGGCCCAGACUCCGACGGGAGGCAGCAGUGGGGAAUUUUGGACAAUGGGCGCAAGCCUGAUCCAGCAAUGCCGCGUGCAGGAUGAAGGCCUUCGGGUUGUAAACUGCUUUUGUACGGAACGAAAAGCCCUGGGUUAAUACCCUGGGGUCAUGACGGUACCGUAAGAAUAAGCACCGGCUAACUACGUGCCAGCCGCCGCCGUAAGAC